rnacentral:rRNA from 1 species
GAUGAACGCUGGCGGCGUGCCUAAUACAUGCAAGUCGAACGAAACUUCUUUAUCACCGAGUGCUUGCACUCACCGAUAAAGGGUUGAGUGGCGGACGGGUGAGUAACACGUGGGCAACCUGCCCAAAAGAGGGGGAUAACACUUGGAAACAGGUGCUAAUACCGCAUAACCAUAGUUACCGCAUGGUAACUAUGUAAAAGGUGGCUAUACUACCGCUUUUGGAUGGGCCCGCGGCGCAUUAGCUAGUUGGUAGGGUAAAGGCUUACCAAGGCAAUGAUGCGUAGCCGAAUUGAGAGGUUGAUCGGCCACAUUGGGACUGAGACACGGCCCAAACUCCUACGGGAGGCAGCAGUAGGGAAUCUUCCACAAUGGGCGAAAGCCUGAUGGAGCAACGCCGCGUGGGUGAAGAAGGUCUUCGGAUCGUAAAACCCUGUUGUUAGAGAAGAAAGUGCGUGAGAGUAACUGUUCACGUUUCGACGGUAUCUAACCAGAAAGCCACGGCUAACUACGUG